GAUGAACGCUGGCGGCGUGCCUAAUACAUGCAAGUCGAGCGAACAGAUAAGGAGCUUGCUCCUUUGACGUUAGCGGCGGACGGGUGAGUAACACGUGGGUAACCUACCUAUAAGACUGGAAUAACUCCGGGAAACCGGGGCUAAUGCCGGAUAACAUUUAGAACCGCAUGGUUCUAUAGUGAAAGAUGGUUUUGCUAUCACUUAUAGAUGGACCCGCGCCGUAUUAGCUAGCUGGUAAGGUAACGGCUUACCAAGGCAACGAUGCGUAGCCGACCUGAGAGGGUGAUCGGCCACACUGGAACUGAGACACGGUCCAGACUCCUACGGGAGGCAGCAGUAGGGAAUCUUCCGCAAUGGGCGAAAGCCUGACGGAGCAACGCCGCGUGAGUGAUGAAGGUCUUCGGAUCGUAAAACUCUGUUAUUAGGGAAGAACAAAUGUGUAAGUAACUGUGCACGUCUUGACGGUACCUAAUCAGAAAGCCACGGCUAACUACGUG
rnacentral:rRNA from 1 species